AGAAGCUUGAUAACAAGAGAAGACAGAGAAAAUGGAUAACAUCACAGCAAGCGAAGUUGCAGGUUUGGGAGUUGGCACGCUUCUCCUUUGUGCCACCAUUGCUGCCCCCAAAAUCGAUGCUUUCUUCUCUUCUUCUCAGCGCAGUGCACUGGGGAUGUGCAGGCGAUGUGGCAAUCUGAGGAGAUUAGCUUGUUCUAGAUGUAAAGGAACUGGCUCAGUCAAAGAAGGCGGAAUACUAAGACUCGGUAGUAACCUCAUAGAUGACUUGUAUGAAAAUCUUGGUUAUCAAUCAAAGGUCAAGCAGAUAUCUUGUGUAAAAUGUCAAGCCAGAGGUUACUUUUCAUGUCCUGAAUGUUCUAAACAAUAAUCAAUGUGAUUUUAUUUAUCUCCUUGCCCUAUAAAAUUGUGACAAGAAAACCUCACAGAUGGUGGUAUGUAACAGUAGUUUUAUCCUUAAUACCUUGUUGCAAGAACAGAUGCAUGAUCAAGAUGCUGCUUGUUAAUCAGGAUUAGUGGGAGCACACCAUUAUAUUGAUGAAUUUGUUCUGUCAUUGGGCCACAUGUCAAAUUGAAAAUGAUGUCUUACAAGAAUAAAGCUAGAGUCAAGUGGUGAGUUCACUGUUUGCUUAAACAAGUGUUGGGGAUUUGAAUCUCGUAUUGUGUAUGUAACAAUCCAUUGGCCAGUAGUAGAUCUUUAAAUAGAAUUUAGAUUUGCAGCAAAUUAGUCUUUUGAUCUGUUGGAUUGAGGAAUACUAUUGGGGAAAAAAAAAAAAGCUAGAUGGAUGCCACUUUAAAACAAAAUUAAUAGAUGUGAAGAUUCUAUUGAGGUGACCCCUAUCAUUUAG